rnacentral:rRNA from 1 species
AACCUUAUCAUUUAGAGGAAGGAGAAGUCGUUUCAAGGUUUCCGUAGGUGAACCUGCGGAAGG